AACUUUGAGCGUUUUUUUUUUCACGGAAGUUCAAAUGGCCGUUUUGGAUGUUUCACGACUUCAUUCAUUUUUAUGAAAUGGCGUUAUUUUGGUUCCAUUUUUAUAUUUGAGAGCCAAUCUUGACCCCAUCGAGGUGAGUCAUCAUCAGUCAUCCCUCUUUUCUCUUUCGAAUUUAGGGUUUAGUCCCAUUGCUAUAGUCUGUGGUGCUCGCCUUUUUCCCUCUGUUAAAAUCCCAACUAGGUUCCCUGGGUUUGCGAAUCCGAGGAACCUCAUGUUGAAUCUCUCGCAGAAGACGAAGCGCUUCCAAGACUGUCCGAUCGGCAGCCUUAGACCUUUUCAUUCAUCAGACGAACCCCUUCGCGUCCUGCUCACCUCCUUGACAGCCAUCGGGGGUCUGAUUUUCAGUUGGCAUGGUGUUCUUGCUAGACGUAUUCAUCACCAAAAACAUCUGGCGAUCUGGGUUCUGAUCAGUUGCAACAACAAUGUAGCAAUGACCACUCUUCUGCUUCUUCUUUUCAUGGUUCUAACGUGUUUACAAUUAUGAUUUAGUUCAAGUUCUUUUUGUAAAAAAAAAUGAUCUUUAUACUACCAAAAUUGAUGUUAUAAGCACCGUUCAGUUUUUAACUAUUAAAAUUUAAGUAAAAAACAACUAACCUAAUAUAUAUUUAUCAUCAACUCACUUUAUAGAAGAUUUCAAAAAACUUAGUUUAAUAAUUAAUUUUAAUAGGUCUGGUUUUCAUUUCCUACAUCAAGUGCUCUAGUUUUUAACAACUUAGACGCUUCUUGUAAGAAAAUAAAAAUAGAGGCACUCGGGGUUUUGAUUAUUUAUUAAAGAAAUUUUCAUGUUCGAUCCUAGGGACAAUUUUUUUGUGAUUUUUCUUAAUCAGGAACGAUACGAUUCGUUUAAGUGGAAACUUAAAACCGUUAUGGUUACACACCGGCUCGAUUUCAACGUGGCAUGCUGCAUGUCGGUUUUGCAUGUAGCCCCGCACGUACCCUCAUUCUCUCGAUCACUGCCCACUUCUCUCUCUGUUAACCCAUGGACUCUUGAAGAGCCCGUUGGCAUCUGCGUCAUUACAUCGGCCUCCUGUUUAUCAUCCUCGUACUGUUCUCCAUCUUCAAGAAGCAACUAGGGAAUGCCGUCGUAUAUCGCGCUCGGACCAUGUCGAGGGAUGAGGGGGCUUUCCCCCCCGGCUACCAGGAAGACGCCUUCUCGUUCUGCAGGUUUCUUUCUUCCUUCUUUCGAGCGGGUAGGGCCGGCGUUUGGGGUAACAGAGGACGACUUGAUGAGGAACUGCGGCCUGGACUCCUUGGUGGUCAUUAGGCUCUUCAAAUUUGGGUAGCCUUCUUUUGCUAUUUUCGGAUGUUGUUGGUUUUUUUCUUCCUUCUUGUUCUUCUGGGAAUUUGGUGUCUGGAGCAAGAAGAUUGUUGCUGUGUUUCCCCUUUUGAAACAGUUUCUUGAAGUUGGGUGAGGGGAAAUCCUGCGAGGAAGUAUCACCUUAAGGUCUUUCAAAUUUGAUGGGACACAGAGUUCGAUUUGUGUUGUGUAGCGGCAGAGAUUUCUAUCCGUCUAACAAAUUUUUUCUGACUUUUUGACUCUUGGUCAAUAGAAAUCGUUGGUUCACUCAAUGGUCAUCACGUUUGAUGGGCCUUUGCGGUAUGGUCUUGUUCUUCUGAUGGUAAAGAGGUUUGCCUUUUCUUUUUCCUUGUCAUGAUCCAUCGGUUUACUUUCCUUUUUCUUGGUUCUGUUUCCUGUUCCUUCUUUUUGUUGAAUUCAAGUUUGAUGGGUUUCGGAUGUGGUUUGUGCUCUGUGUUUACAUCCUGCAAGUGAACUCUUUUCUUUCUUUCUGUCUGGAUCAAUGAUUCUUGUUUUUUUCCCGUCAAAUCCUUAUUCUUCUUUUGAAAUUCUCUCGACAGCAGAAUUUAUGCAUGAGAUAUUCUCAUAUUUGCAGUAAGCAUGUUUUUGGGACCGUUCUGUAUGAAACUAUGAUUGACCAUAUUUGCAUUUCUGUGCUUUUUCUUCUUCAGCACAAAGCUUUUUGUGCCGUGUUCAAUAGUCGGAUUACUGGUGCUUGUGCCUGUUAAUUGCACAAGUCGAAAGAGAUCCUCCAGCAUCACCCUUUCAUAUUCGAUUGAUUCUUUUACCAUAUCGAAUAUUGGAAGACGAUCUAAUAGGUAAUACUUUCUUGGGUUAUAUGAAUGUUAACAAGAAUUAUUAUUCCUUAUGAUUUCCUGAAAAACAUUGUUCUUCACGCGUAUUAUUUGGUGAACUCCUUUUAAAUUCACAAAUUAUUACUUUAAUCUUGAGUAGGUUUGUUUUGUUGCAAUGGUGAACUACACAAUUCGUAACAUGUACGUGAGGAUGAAAGAAAACCGAUGCCAUACACUGAUCAUUAUCGUUUGAUUCAUUUUGCUGCAGAAUUGUCAGGGCUCUUUCCUUGCUGGCAUUCUUUUCAUUUUAGUGAAUGUUUUAUGUCAUAUGCUUUUUUUCAUCAGAUAGUACUUUUAAGUUUUUGACUAACGAUUUCCCAGCUUUCUUUAAUAGAAUGCAUCUCGAUCAUAUAUUUAAUAGGUCAUUUUCAUCCAUCAGCGUAGGGAAACAUAAAAAGAAGAGUACAAAAGAAGAGUACUUACUUUGACAUGGAAUAAGACCGGGGCAGAGCUAAAUGUGGGCUUGUGUGGCAGUUGCCCACACGGUCCACAAAAGUUUAUGGAUUUACAUAUUCUUUAGCGCCAACUGUUUGCUUAUUUAUUCUCCUUGGACAUAUUUAAAACUUUGGAUUUUUUGCUAUUCGUUCUUGUUUGGAGCUUGAUUUAACAACCUUGGAAUGACUGCCCAGAUAAUGCAAUAUUUUAAUGAUAUUUUAGAUGAAAAAGUCACACUUAUGACACUUCAUUGUGCAUCUUGAUGCACCGUGGCUGUAGAAUCGAACCAUGUACUACUGGUGAUAUGCACUGUGAUUCAGUUGGAGUAACUUUGCUAUGUUAUAGAGCAUAUUGCUUAGUGUUUUAUGCAAUUUAUACCUAAAAUCCUAUGACUUCAAGAUCAGCAGUAUUGUGAGGUGAAGAUAAUGUGGAAGAGCUUUUAUGUUCAUCAGGGGCGCACAUGCAUACACGAUCAUGUGCAUACACGAAUUGCAGAUGAAGUGUUCUUUCAUCAAUCAUGUGCAUACACGAAUUGCAGAUGAAGUGUUCUUUCAUCCAUGCAUGCAAAUGUUGGGAUAAAUAGUAAUUACCAUAUUAUGAUUUUGCAUUUUAAAUUUUGUUUUAGUCAACCUUCAUGAUUUUUUUUCCGGCUUGUAUAUCCUUCAAUACUCCUCUUGAAUUUUCCAAGUUAUUUAAUUCAGUAUUCUGCAUUGUAUGUUUUACACAUAAAACGAAAAUAUAGGUUGAGCUCCAAACAGUUGAUGGGCUAGUGAAAGAAAGCACUCAGUGUGCUCCAAAUGGUUAUUAUUUCAUUCCAGUUUAUGAUAAGGUAUCAGAAAAAGGUUCACUAGCUUUCUUAUUUUUCUGGUUGCCUGGACGUUUUGUAAGUUUUUGCUGCAAGUGUUAUAGUAAAUUAAACUGCAGUGCUGUUCCACUCCUAACAGAUGUUUCUAUCGGUUUUGUUCACUGUUUCUGUAAAUGUCUCUUCUUCAUUUAAUGAUUCCAAGAGUUUCCUGAAUGAAGCUGCUGAAUUUUGUCACAACAUAUUUUUCUGUCAUGUAAAACUCAAGCCUCUGCAGUUUAUAACUGUUUUCUGCAUCAAAAACUUAUUGGUAAUGUACUUUUUAAUGCUGCUCACUUUUUGAUAAAUCAAUAGCUUCUGGUUGCUAUAGUAUCUGUUGGUCCUUUGUGCAGCUUUCAUGUUCAUUUACGUGCAACUUUCAUGUUCAUUUAGGUUUUAGGACACAUAAUAUAUAAAAAAUACCCCUUUGAUAAGAAACAUCUGAUAAUGAAUGUGGUUCGGGAACUUUAGAGUUUAGAGAUUUACUCUUCAUUAUAGUAAAUGGGUAAGAAGGCAGGUGAACUAUUACAAAGUGAAAGGUUGUUUUGUAUAUUUUGCUAAGCAACAUGGGGUAUGGGAAUUGCCCUGGAGUAUCCGUGUUGGAAUGGCUUUUUUUUGACACAAAUAUGCCUGGGGCCCUGAGCAAUUGGGUAUGUUAGAUGAGAUUUGGUCAGAUCCAAUCCAAAACAUUAAACUUAAGAAAGGGAAAAAGAAUAACACAAUUACCAUGUACAGUUUACCAGCGAGAGAGAGAGAAAGAGAGAGAGAGAGAGAGAGAGAGAGAGUACCAGCAAGAAGAAUCUGAUGGUAGCGAGUUAAGACACCAGAGGGCAAGGGGUGAGCCACCAAUGAGGGCAGAUAACUUGCAAGAGAGAGAUUGCAUGAACCGAUGGCCUCCUAGACCUGGGUUUCUCCUCCUUCAUAAUGACUGAUGAAGAGAACCUGUAUAUAUAUGCUGCUGUGUUUUAACCCAUAUUGUCAAUUGUCAUAGAUGCACCCACACUCAUAACCAUAUCCAUGUGACACAGAUAUUUUGGUGGUGAGGUGGGCUGAAUUGGCUGUUUCUGCUGAAGAUCAGCUUUUAGUGAUUGUCUUAGACUUAGUUGUUCAGUUUCUCAAUUUUUUGUACAAAAAUGUAAAAUGUUCUUAUGAAUCACUAACUUAGAACUCCAACUCCUUUUUGAUAUUGAAGAAAGACUUUUGUGUUUGGCUUGUUUCUAGAAAGAAAACAACCUUAAGGUACUUGGUCUAUGUUCUUUUAUCUAUGUUUGGAACUUUAUAAUUCAGUCCUUAUGGUUUUCUAUUGCAUAAGGUAAUUAAGAAUAUUAAUUUAUGGGCAUUUAUAAUCUAGUAUGGUCUUUUGGGGAUAUUACCUGAAUGUGCCAAGUAUAUUCCAUGUAUUUGUGCAAUAUUUAGCUAAGACUCUCUAACAUGUGCGGUAUCAAGAUGUCAGGUGCUUUCGUAGAGACGUAUACACACACACAUGCUUACAUUUUCGCAUAUAAUGAGCUACCAAUUCAUCUAAGAGACAAAGGAAUAAAUGCUGUGGCAGCUUAAAGCCUUAGCCAGAAAGGAUCUCUUCUCUUACUAACAUUAUGCAUGUUCACUAUGUUGCUGAUGUCCUUUGUACUUACUAACAUUGUGUAUCUUGUGUUGUAACUUUAGGGUUCUUUUGUUGUCCAAAUUAAGGGACCUCAUGGAUGGUCAUGGGAGCCAGAUCAUGUAAUUUGCUGCUUUCUGGUCCCAUGCUUGCCUUUAAAAUUAUGUUCUCUAUUUACUUGUUGUCUUUUGUUAACUCCUUCAGUUACUUUCCUGAACCUUCUUACUUUUGGUAUGUGACAUGGGAACUUUGGAUGCCGAUAUUAUCGUGUUUUAAAUUAAGCUCAUGACUACACGGAAGCUUGCAUUCUUCUGCAACUGACAAAGCAUUAGUUUUGGUCUGUUGGCAACUAGAUCCCUGUUUCUUUUUAUAGUUAUGUAUGUCCCUGAACUUUCAGUGAGAACGUGUAAAUAUGGUAAAGGAUUCUCUUGAUGUAGAUCCAACUUCCACGUAGACUAUUUGGCAGUAUAUAUAUGCCAAGGGCUUGAGGUUGUAAUUGCUGGUUAAAGUAGUCCUUUAUAGACUGAUUUGCUAUAAUUGGAAAGGUUUGGAUUGUGGGUCUUCUGGAAAGUUUUCUCAUCCCCACACCCGAAAAAAAAAAAAAAAAACACACCCUUCCCACCCUUAGGACUCAACUGUAGGACCUGAAGACACUUUCAGCAAAAGCUUGUUAUCUCAUCUGAAGCCAAUGGAAUGUUAAAGAUGUUACCGCAGGAACUGGGAUAUAGUGGAGCAGCACAAUAAGGAUUUGAUAACGAACUUCCCACAUUACUCUCAAUGACUGAGCAUAAAAGAUUGUAGUUAGCUGGCAGGAGAAAGAAGAUGUGAGGUGUGGGAUAGUGUUAAGAUGAAGAACAUUUAUGAGGAGGAUGAAGGAACCUCUGUGCUGUGUUGACAGUGCAUACAGAUUCAGCUCUGGGCAGAUUAAGGAGCUGAGAUUGCUGAUUUUGAUAAAACAGGAGUUGUACCGGAGCCUGUGUUCCAUUUAUUACUAGAAAAUAUGGGAGUUGUUCGACAAGGCUGAUGUCAACCAGUAAUUUUUCAAUCUACUCUACGUUUAAGUUGAAGGUUGUUAAUCACAUCCAUAUGUAAGUGUACAAGAUGAUGGAAGCAACUUUUCUACCGUUGAUUUUAUAGAUGGCUAUGCCACACAGGUACUUGUCAAAGGCCCAAGUACACACAUAUUGUGUACAUAUAUCAUAUAUAAUAUAUAAUAUAUAAUAUAUGUAUAUACUUGUAUAUGUCAUAUCUAACAAUAUAUUAUAUGUAUACAUAUAAUUUAUAUGUAAUAUUGCUUAUAAUAUAUUGCAUAUAUUAUACAACCUAGGAUUAUAUAUGUAUAUAGCUUAUAACGUACGUUAUAUAUAUGCACCAUAAUAACAAUAUAUAAUAUAUGUUUAUAAUCUGCUAUAUAUGUUGUAUGCUAUGUCACAUGCUAUAUAUGUUGUAUGUUAUGUCACAUGGGUACGGGCACGGUGUCGGUACGGGUACGGACCAUUUUUAAAAAACUUAGGUACGAGGUACGGUCGUAUACACAUAUAUAUAUGUCGAAAAAUACAGAAAAAUAUAUUUGCACAUAUCUAUAUCAAAAAUUACAAACAAACACAAUAACAUAUCAUUAUAUUCAUAAAUCAUAAUUCAAAAUACAUUCAAAAUAGAUGAAUCCUCUCAUAAAACGAUGUAUCACCACAGGCUCACAACAAUAACUAGGGAAGACGCAGUUAACAGGGAUCAUGUAGUGCAAAAUCAUAUACAAUAAAAAUGUAUUGUUGGCAAAUUUGUAUUGUAUAAUACAAUACAAAUUUGCCAACAUUAAUAUCUACAAUCAUGUAGUGGAAAAUCAUAUACAAUAAAAAUGUAUUGUUGGCAAAUUUGUAUUGUAUAAUACAAUACAAAUUUGCCAACAUUAAUAUCUACAACUCUACAUGCAGCACUCAUGCAGUACAACGGCAUGAGUGCAGCACCUGCCGGAAAAUCCAAUCCACAUUCAACAAUAUUCUAAGACAGUGAAGAAUGAAAAGAAGGCCUCUAUUAUCUAAAUCUCUGGCUUACCAGGAAGAAAAGAAGAUCAAGUUUAUUAUGAAAACACACGACCUGCUCGCUGCCACGAUUGGCGUGAGCUAUCGAUAGCUCAGCUACCACUGUGUGAAUGGGAGAUCAAUCCGGAUCAUUUUCUUCCAUAAGAAGUCCUGACCUUUCAAAAGAAUCUUCACCUUUUUGGUAUGGUGAGUACUAAUGACAUACAAAUGAGUCUUGACCUUUUUGGAUUCUGACCUUUCCAGAGAGUCCUUCCAUAAUUGUCGAAAGAUGCUCUAGAUUCGCCCACCGCUCUUUGGAUUCCACAGGAAUGGAUGAGCCUGAUUAUGACGUGUGUCUCGACGUCUCGACCGCAUCUUUCUCCGUUUUCAUUAAUGGCGUGUCGGGCCUGGACACAAUCCGCGAGUUCAGACAAGACAAGAUGUUAGGCUAUUGACCUCGGUCAGCCCCUGACUCUGAGAUAGAUAUAAGCAUAGCUUCGUAAUUCAACUUCUCGCACAUCUGCUCUGAAAGCGAGAGCUUGAGAUGCAUCCGUUAAGACACUCGCAAAGCGAAAAAAGAAAUUUCGAACAAAAGGAUCGGAACUCGCUGAUAGGAAAGGAGAGAAAAACAAAGCAAUGCCAACAGAGUCAAUUCGCUGUUUGAAAACAGAGAGAGAGAGAUUUGAAACCCUCUCGGGUAGAGAAAGGGCGAGCCAGAGGGAGGGGUGAUGGGUUUUCACUUUUAGGCGGUGAGUUUUCUGAACACACAACCCGUCGCCGGUCGUUGCCGGCGGCGAAGGCAGGGGCAGAGCAGAUGAAAAUGAAAACAAAAAAUGAAAAAAACAUCACAGUCACCUCCUGCCGUCGUCACCAUUCCCCGCUGGGUUCGCCGCCCCUGCUGUCGCUUGUCGCUGCUGCUUCGUUGCCGGCGAUGAAGGCAGGGGUGGAGCCGAUGAGAAUGAAAAGAAAAAUGAGAAAAAAAAAUACCGUGAGAAAGAGGAACGAAUGUUGUCGCUGGCCGCCACUGCCGUCGCCGGUUGCAGUCGCUGCGGCCGCUGCACACUCGCCGCGGCCGUUGCACACUCACCGGAAGUCGUCGCCAGUCGAAGGCUCGAAGCUGCGGUCGCUCGGUGAGAGGUAAGAAAGAGUAAAGUCGAAUGUUUUAAGGGUUUCGUUUCUUUUUUAACGUUAAAAUGAGUUUAAAAGUUAAAAUCAAAUAAUCGUUAAACAUAAAAAACGGAUGGAUUUGGACUUAGUCAAAGUUGACCGUAUCCAAAAAUGGACGGAUACGACCUUCGGUAGGUUGACCGUACCUGGUACGGUCAACGCCGCACCAUCCCGUACCCAAGCCCGUACUCGUAUCCAUACCGGUGUCGUACCAGUACCGGACGAGUACUCCACCCUCCUAGCUGUACCCGUGUUACUUAGGUUGUAUGAGUUCUUUGAGAAUUUUGGAAAGCUUAAAUGGAAUUAUUAAGAACUCAUGAGCUGCUUAUAUGUAAAUGUUGGGUACCCUUAAGGAACUAACAACAAGAUUAAGAUAUACUUGACUGUGACUUAAGUAUAGAUUAACCUUAAUUAAUAUAAGUUCAAUUAAACUAUUCCAUAAUUAAGAGUUACUAAAUACCUUUCAGUUUGAAAGUAAAUAGCUUCAAAAUUGGGGACAAGAUUGAAAAAUAAAAUAAAAUAAGACGGAGGUCAUUGCACAACCCCCAUUUCAAGACCAAAAGAGAGGGAUAGAAGAAAGAGAUGAGGGGAGGGAGGAGACUGAUUUUCAGGUGGUCAAAUCAACAAGAAUCAGGUAUGGUGUCCCUAGCAUCCCUUUUUGCUUUCGGAAAUGGUUUUGAUUCAGUUAAUGCAUAAUUUCACACCAUAUUUUUGGAAUCAUGCUUAUUUCAUGUGCUGCACGCGUUGAUAACUUUUGCUUGAUGAAAAAUGGUGCAGACUGGGAUAUUAUGCAAACCCUCAACUAGACAGUUUGUGAAAUAGUGCCUUUGCAGCUAGUUUUUGAAUUGCCCGAGCCAUUUUUCCAGUCAUCGGCGGCUGACCAUGGCCAGCUCGGCUUGACCACAACUCUAUCCGUGGCCAUGUAUUGCUGCUGAUGGUCCGCUUGGCUUGUUUUUGACUUCUUGAGGAGCACUGCGUACCUUGUCCUGUUUGGGGUUUGUUGUGCGCAUGUUCCCAUGCGAAUGAUUAUGUUGUCGAUUUUUCCAUCUCUUAUGUAAUUGCAUGAAUAGUUGAAUGUGAUUGCAUGAAUAGUCAACUAGGCAACCUUUAGCAGACCCCUUAUUAUAUUUGGGGUGUUGUGCCAUUUGACCAUAGAAGUGUAGCGCCAAGAAAUGUUAGAUUGAUCCUCCCUAGAGGGGAAUGAAUCAAAAUUUUAUCUGUUGCAUGGCUUAUUCUUAUACUUGUUACGUACUAUUUAUAGUUGCAUGUUAUAAUGUGGUAUGUGGAUUGUGGAGUAUAUGACAGGUGGAGGUUGGAGUCAUGACUGACGCCAAUGUGAUGUAACAGACCUAGUGAAUUGCAUAUGGGCAGAUAGAUAGGCUUAGCCUUUGGAUAUGUGUUCUCUUGAUCUCUUGAUUCAUUGUUAUGUUUUGUUGGUUCAUGAUUAUUGUUAUGUUUUGUUGGUUCAUGAUUAUUAGUCUGAUGUUAAAGAACCUGACUUGGGCUCCACAGGUCCUGCUCCUUAUCAUGAUCAUCUAGAUGCAUUAAGAAGUAACUUAUUUAAUUGUUCAUGCGACAUUAUCGUGAAAUAAAGAAAACAUGCAUCAAUCUUUUCACUCCAUAGCCGCUUUGCCACUCAGUUUCUUAGCUAUUCGUAUUGACACACACACACACACACACACACACAUAUAUAUAUAUAUAUAUAUAUAUAUAUAUAUAUAUAUAUAUAUAUAUAAUUUGUGAAUUUAUAUGGUCAGGGUGUGGCCAUAGAAGUCACACGCUACUCACACACAUCGCAAUGCAUUGCAUUAGAGCUAAAGCCGCCCAAUAAUUUUUAUCGGGUGGUUGUGGAAGUAGGCCUGAACUAGAAGCUAAAACUCAUUAAAGCUUGGCUGGAGCGCAAGCCGAGUCUUAACGAUGUACGACUUCAUAACUCCGACUGGUUUAUGUAAGUGGAAUGGAGUUGUUCACUGAAUCGGUUAGUUAAAGUGUGACUCGGUUCAAAAUAUAACUGGUUCGAAUUGUUGCAAGAAACGAUUCGCACAACUCCUUUUUUAAAUAUUAAACCGCUUUCCAAAUGUGACAGGAAUGAUAGGGCGGCGGCAGAAUUCUUUCUUUCGCUCCUCCACUCAUCCUCGGUGGUCGUCAAGUCCUCCCUCACCUUGCCUUGCCUCUUCUUCGACGUUCGUCGAGUUCUUCACUCCCGACUACCACUCUCCCUGGUCGGCGCCGCGUCCUCCAACUCUCCGACAGUCGAUCUCCCGUCUGGCGUCCAUACCUCGGAAGCUCUUGUGACUACAGUGUCCCGUCGGUCGUCAUUCGUCAGGUUACUCAGGUCCUCCACGUAGUACAACCAAGUUCUAUUCUCUUAUCGUCUCCCUGCUGGUGGAUUAAGAGAAAGAAGACGAGAAGAGGACGAGGAGAGAGAGGCGGCAAGAAGAGGACGAGGAGAGACGAAAGGAAAGAAGUCGUUGAAGAAAAGAGUCGUCGGAGAAUUUACUUCGCUGCCAAGUUCUUCUUACUUCACUACCAUGCACGUGCACACCGCGGGCGGCCUAUAGCCAAGAGACAACCCCCGUGGUGGCCCAGAAUAGAAUGGAUCCAUUCAUCCGCUGCAACGGUAGAACACUCAUCCAUCGAUGUGUGAAUUUCAAGGAGAGAUACUCAACCAUCCCUACGACACCCAGGUUGGGAAGGUGGGAGCCCAACGCUCCAAGCACAUCACACAAUAGUACCCUAGGGCCUUGCACCGCUUGCGCUCCGAACAGACACGUGCACAUCGCGGGCGGCCUAUAGCCAAGAGACAACCCCCGUGGUGGCCCAGAAUUGAAUGGAUCCUUUCAUCCGCUGCAACGGUAGAGCACUCAUCCAUGGAUGUGUGAAUUCCAAGGAGAGAUACUCAGCCAUCCCUAGGACACCUAGGUUGGGAAGGCGGGAGCCCAACGCUCCAAGCACAUCACACAACAGUACCUUAAGGCCUUGCACCGCUUGCGCUCCGAACAGACCUUCCCACCAGGUGGCCGAGAACUAGGGCCAGCACGACCAAGCAAGGCCAAGAGAGUCAAGCACCAUCGGCCAACAUGAUGAAAAGCAUAGAUGAGCUAAGGGAGGCUAACAUAGAACUUGAAGUUGAUGCAGCGGGCGGUGUGGGCGGAGCAUCAUCAGCGGAGCGCGGGUAGCGAGCUGAAGACUUCAAGGCGGAACAGGCACGGGAACUAGACCUAGAUCCGGUUAUAGCGAGUUCGAACCCUGAGUCUAGUCCUGACCCAGUCCACGCGUGGCAAGCCUAAGGCCUAACUUAGGCAAGUUAUAUGGCUGAACCCGUGAGGGAGAGGCCAAACUCACUAAACAUUCGAGACAUCUCGUCUCAGUCUCCUUUUAUGCUUUUGCUUUAUAGUUGAGUCGUUUCAUUUCAGCAAGUGUCUCGGUUCUCAUGUUAAGAACUGGU